GGAGGGGUAGCGAAGAGGCUAAACGCGGCGGACUGUAAAUCCGCUCCCUACGGGUUCACAGGUUCGAAUCCUGUCCCCUCCA
rnacentral:tRNA from 1 species